UUCGCACGCGGUCGUCGCGAUUCUCCUAUCUUCGGAGUUAAUUAGCUAACUCGUAUUACUUUGGGUGUUCUUAGUGAUUAUUGCUGACUAUUGUGUCUCGCUAAUGAUUUAUUGCUUAUAAGAUGUUCGCGACAUGCAAAUAUUGUGUAUUUGUUCGUGAGCGGGGUGUCGACGGAUGCCGUUUACGAUGGAAAUUUUACAGUACCUACUAACCAUAUUAGCCGCGCCUUGGAGUUCCAUGAGUUCUGCAUUGCACUCGUUGUGCCUGGGAGUCCGAUAAGCUGUACACUGGUAAGUUCAUAAUUCAAUUAUAUUUUUUGGUCCAAUUUACAUUUGCUGUUUAUAAACAACGAACUACCUACCUGCAGGGCCGAUGAGACUGGGAUAAAUUCCCCGGGGCCCGGCUAAUCGCUCUUAAAUCGCAGUCACAAAAAAAUAGCAAAAAAUUGACAAUUGCCGAAGCCCGCGGCUUUUCCCCGGUGUCCGCGCUGGUUCUUGACGGCCAUGUCUGUAUCUCCCUGUAUUGAAAUUUAUUGCAAGAAAAUUCCGUAACGCGAGUUAUAUUGAGAGUUGUGUAUGUGCGCCGUAGUAAUCGUUGCUCACGGAAUUUUAGUUUUUUUAGUAUAACACGCGAACUCGGUGUUAAAGUUAGUUUGGAAUAAUUUUCCCAGAUGCGGAAUUUAAUUGUGUAUCACCCUGUAUCGAAAUAUAUUACGAAAAAAAUCCGUUACGCGAGUUAUAUUGAAAGUUGUGUGUGUGCGUCGUAGUAAU